GUACUUGUGCUCGGUAAGACUGUGAGGAAGACAUUGUGAUGGAGAGACAGUGGAGGGAGAGACAGUGGAGGGAGAGACAGUGGAGGGAGAGACAGCGGAGGGAGAGACAUUGGAGGGAGAGACAUUGGAGGGAGAGACAGUGUGAGGGAGAGACAGGGUGAGGGAGAGACAGAGGAGGGAGAGACAUUGGAGGGAGAGACAGUGGAGGGAGAGACAGCGUGAGGGAGAGACAUUGUGAGGGAGAGAUAGCGUGAGGGAGAGACAGCGUGAGGGAGAGACAGUGGAGGGAGAGACAGUGGAGGGAGAGACAGCGGAGGGAGAGAAAGCGGAGGGAGAGACAUUGGAGGGAGAGACAGGGUGAGGGAGAGACAGGGUGAGGGAGAGACAUUGGAGGGAGAGACAGUGGAGGGAGAGACAGCGUGAGGAAGAGACAGCGUGAGGGAGAGACAUUGUGAGGGAGAGACAGCGUGAGGGAGAGACAGCGUGAGGGAGAGACAGUGGAGGGAGAGACAGGGUGAGUAAAGACAGUGUGAGGGAGAGACAGUGGAGGGAGAGACAGGGUGAGGGAGAGACAGGGUGAGUAAAGACAGUGUGAGGGAGAGACAGUGUGAGGGAGAGACAGCGUGAGGGAGAGACAGCAUGAGGGAGAUCGUGUGAGGGAGAGACAGUGGAGGGAGAGACAGGGUGAGGGAGAGACAGGGUGAGGGAGAGACAGUGGAGGGAGAGACAUUGGAGGGAGAGACAGUGGAGGGAGAGACAUUGUGAGGGAGAGACAGCGUGAGGGAGAGACAGCGUGAGUAAAGACAGGUGAGGGAGAGACAGGGUGAGGGAGACAGUGUGAGGUAGAGACAGUGUGAGGUAGAGACAGGGUGAGGGAGAGACAGGGUGAGGGAGAGACAGGGUGAGGGAGAGAAGGGUGAGUAAAGACAGUUGUGAGGUAGAAACAGUGUGAGGUAGAAACAGUGUGAGGUAGAGAAGGAAAACAUUGAUAUACAGUUUAAAUGAUGCUCUGCCACACCUCUGGACGGGAAAGCCACUGACGCUACCAAGAGAAGACAGACCAUAAAUAACAAACCCUAAAUAAAACAUCCCUAUGGGUUAGUACCAGAGUCAGUUGAGCAGCUGUCAGUAAGAUGUCUCCCAGACAGAGAACACACGGCACCACAGGACCACAGGGACAAACAUCAUCGAUAGGUCUUUGCUGUUGAAGAACACGGUCCACACACACCUAGGCAGUUGUGAAGAAAUCACUUUGGUGCCUCUCCCCACAUAGUGGUGCUGGGCACUAAAACCCUCUAACAGUUCACCAGAUGACUUGAAGAGAGCAACCCGCGCUUGGUGUUGUGAAAGGCUGAAUUCAAGACCAGGCCUAGCUGCCUACUACCAGGGACCUCAAC
ensembl:lncRNA